UGGAGAUGGCGACCGGCGCACGGGUGAGUAACACGUAUCCAACCUGCCGAUAACUCGGGGAUAGCCUUUCGAAAGAAAGAUUAAUACCCGAUGGCAUAAUAGAACCGCAUGGUUUGAUUAUUAAAGAAUUUCGGUUAUCGAUGGGGAUGCGUUCCAUUAGGCAGUUGGUGGGGUAACGGCCCACCAAACCUUCGAUGGAUAGGGGUUCUGAGAGGAAGGUCCCCCACAUUGGAACUGAGACACGGUCCAAACUCCUACGGGAGGCAGCAUG
rnacentral:rRNA from 1 species